rnacentral:lncRNA from 1 species
UAUUUGGAUUCACGAAGCCUCUCACUCCAGAAAGUGGUGUCCCAAUGAGUCAAACUGUCAGAUUCUGCAGCACCUUGAUUCUUUGCAAAACUUUUGAGGUCUUCCAUGUCUAAUUCAUAGAACGGAUAAAAAAGGUCAAAUUUCAGUAUUGGAUAGGCAAUUCCAGAGCUACGGUGUCUCGUGAUAUUUCAGACAGUUAAAAAGUUAAAACAGUAGCCAACUUGUUUAACAACUAACAAUUGAUUUGAAUAUAUCAUGUAUGUUACCUUUAACAGCUGCAUCCCAGGACGCCCUACGAAGCUUCUCUAAAAGCUCUGCUGCUUUGUCAACAGUAGCCAUUUUCAUAGCCAUGCUUACCUGGACCAACAGAGAACCCUAUUAAGCCAAUUAGAAAGAGAAAAGGAAAAACUUUACUUAGGUUGAUGACUAUACCUCAGCGUAAUUGUUGUAACCAAGAAGCUUAGCUUUUUCCAAGCGAAGCUUCAAAAUCUGGUCAAUAAUUGCUGUAUUAUCCAAAUCACCAGAAGAGGCACGAGUUAGGUAAGCACGGUAGAGCUCCUCACGCAGAGCUCGGUUUUUGGCAUGUUGCAUAACAGGAAGAUAACUAGGAGCAUCCAGUGUAAUGAUCCAUGGCCCAGUUUCAGCAGUUGCAUGUUCAUGGCCCUUAAGUACAUAACAUAUCAAGAAACAAAAAUUGACAAACCCCAGAAGAAAAGAUACAUGGAGCGGUGCAUAUUUUUCAGUUAGUACUAAUACCUUGGACACAGCAGCCUGUGCGAAUAGCCCAAGAGCGGAAGGAGGCAAUCCAUCAAUCUCUUUCUUGUCCGUUAUCAACUUUUCAAACUUCUUUGUAGCAUCCAAAACAUUUUCAGAAAACUUAUGAGAAAGCUUUUCGAGUUCCUACAAUGAAGAACAAAAAUUAAGUGAGCAUAUAUCAUUAAUAUUGGAAAAAAGAGAGUUCUUGGGAAAGCAGAAAACUGUCAAAAGCUUAAAAACAAACCUGUUCAAUCUUGUUAAAUUCUUCUCUUUUGUCAUCAUCAAGAGCAAUACCUAUGAGAACCGCCUCCUUAAUUUGGGCUGAAAUCAAGCUGAAACAGCAGUUAGCACAUCUAUAACUUGCCAAGAGAAUGAACGAUAUGUUCUUCCAAUACCCCAAAUUAGAACAACUUGCCUUCAACUAAACGUUGACGAGCUUCACUAAGUGAUGGCCAAUCAGGAGAUUCACGAAUAGCUUUAAAGGCGUUGUAAAUAGGCUUGCUUUGGCCCAACCUGAGCUGGAACUUCACCUUCUCUGGCUGCAGAAGAAGAGUAGGAACAAGAUAUGAAUUCAAAUUCACCAAACGAACACACACUGAAACAAGAAUGAGAACACAAUUAAUGUAUAAAAACCUGAACGUCUUCGAUAGCAGCACGAAGCUCAGGUGUGUCCUUGACAGCUUUAAGGUGAUUGAUCAUUCCCCAAACAACAGUUAAGCGAUCAACAAUUUUCUCUAAUGGUUCAACCAGUUUUGGCCAUGAUGGCUCCACAGAUUUCUCUAGCUGCUCCAAUUCAACUUCCUUCAAAACAAAAAAUAACCCAUGAACAAAAUCGAAUUAAGAUGAAUCUGUCAAAUCGGAAACGAAGAACGGGAACAUUACGAGGUGCUGCAAUAGAGAGCGAAUCCCAGGACGGACAUGGCUGGCAUCAACAGAAUCAAAGGGAGGGAAAUCGAAAUCCUGCAAGAGAGGAUUGGAGGAGAGAGUCUGGGCGGAAUCGACGGCGGCGGCGGCGGCGGAAGACAUGGAAGGAGGAGAGGAGGAGGAGAAGGGGUGGAAGGAGAGAGAGGUAGAAGUGGUGGAUCUAGGAGGAGGGAGACAGAAAGAGAAAGAAGAAGACCAGAUGGGGCAGGAAUAUGAUUUACGAAGAGUAGAGGG